rnacentral:sRNA from 1 species
AGACAAUAUUAAUACUCUGUACUCUAAUUUUUCUUAAUUCAGAUGUUCAUUUAUAAUAAACGCAACUUUUACCAUCAUAUUUACAUGCAGUCAUUUGAGUAGUGAAAACGGAAUGUGAUUGGUUGAUAAGAUUGACUCAUGUUGUGCCUAUACCUAUUUGUAUUUAUUGCAAAACUGGAUGAAAUGAUUCCUACAUGUAUUGUCAUCUUCAGUGAAUCAAAUUCUGUAAAAAUGUACCAUCGUUUGCCUGGCCUGUCUCAUGCAGCCAUAUAAAGAAAUGCACAACUAACUAGAACUACACUUUGUAUUCUUAAGAAUUUUGUCAGUAAUAUAUAACAGUUGUGUGUUGAACCAUUGUACAUGUGUAAAAAUGAAGUGUGUGUGCGAGUUCCUCUGUAUGGCUGCAUGGAGGACUGCGUUGUUCAUAUAGAUGCCAUCCAUCAUCAUGGGGUGGCUUUCAUUUUCGGUGAUUUUCCAUUCAGUGUUCAAGUGAUGCUUUGAAAGUUUUUGACAAGAUCUGUGUUUACACUCAUUUGCAGAGUAAAUGUAUAUGAACAAUUUUGAAAGUAAGGGUGUAAUGUGUUUUGAUAUUUAUAAUUGAUUAGGUCAUCCUUUGUAUUGUACAAGUAGAUAGAUUUGUACAAAAUAAAAGUGACAA